rnacentral:rRNA from 1 species
UACAAUGGAGAGUUUGAUCCUGGCUCAGGAUGAACGCUAGCGGGAGGCCUAACACAUGCAAGCCGAGCGGUAGAGUGUCUUCGGAUACUUGAGAGCGGCGCACGGGUGCGUAACACGUGUGCAACCUACCUUUAUCUGGGGGAUAGCCUUUCGAAAGGAAGAUUAAUACCCCAUAAUAUAUUUGAUGGCAUCAUUAGAUAUUGAAAACUCCG